CACCCGGGGACAGUGAUGAGCGCGUCUGGAGGAGGUGUGCUCAGCUAGGAGAGCUUCUCCACUUGAUGAUGGAGCUCCUGCAAAAGCUGAGAACACUGAUCUGAAGCUGCAUCCUGCAAGCACUCGCUGGUGAAUGGUGAGAGGUCCUCAACAACCAUCAACCUGACACGAGAAGGAAACAGUAGAGUUUCCUGGAUAAUAAAGCUGGGAAAAGGCUCUCUCAGAUUGGGAAUAUCUGCAGUCUUGAGGGAAUAACAAACCAGUACUGGAAGUUACUAUAAGUAAGAAGCAUAAAGUUUUGGAUCUAUUUGGUAUAACU